CCUACGGGUGGCUGCAGUGAGGAAUAUUGGUCAAUGGGCGCGAGCCUGAACCAGCCAAGUCGCGUGAGGGAAGACGGCCCUACGGAUUGUAAACUUCUUUUGUCGGGGAGUAAAAGACGGCACGUGUGCCGUUUUGAGAGUACUUGAUGAAUAAGGAUCGGCUAACUCCGUGCCAGCAGCCGCGGUAAUACGGAGGAUCCGAGCGUUAUCCGGAUUUAUUGGGUUUAAAGGGAGCGUAGAUGGGAUGUUAAGUCAGUGGUGAAAGUUUGGGGCUCAACCGUAAAAGUGCAAUUGAUACUGGCAGCCUUGAGUAAAUGUGAGGUAGGCGGAAUGCGUGGUGUAGCGGUGAAAUGCUUAGAUAUCACGAAGAACUCCGAUUGCGAAGGCAGCUUACUAGACUGCAACUGACACUGAUGCACGAAAGUGUGGGUAUCAAACAGGAUUAGAUACCCGUGUAGUC
rnacentral:rRNA from 1 species